AACCUUGGAGUCACUUUUUGACGCUCUUGGUCGGGACUCUUGGCGUCACUAUUUGACGCUCUGGGGACUCGUGUCCAGCCCUUUGGCGUCAUAUUUAGAC